rnacentral:rRNA from 2 species
CCUGGUGACGAUAGCGCAGUGGACACACCUGUUCCCAUCUCGAACACAGAAGUUAAGCACUGCAUCGGCGAUGGUACCCGUAUGGGGAGAGUAGCAAGUUGCCAGGU